rnacentral:rRNA from 1 species
AUAUACGUAAGCGGAGGAUAGACACAAAAAAGAUUCCCUUCGUAAUGGCGAAUGGACAGGGAUGAGCUCAGCAUGGAAUUUGGGGCUCGUGGCUUUGAAUUGUAACGUUGAGAUGUAUUACCAGCGGAGGCGCAGAUGUAAGCCUUUUGGAAAGGAGCACCAACGAGGGUGAGAGUCCUGUUUGACACCUGCCGUCUCCCGCGCGCAGCGUAUGUUCUACGAGUCGCGCUCCUUGGGAUUGGAGCGCUAAGUGGGUGGUAAAUUUCAUCUAAAGCUAAAUAUGUGUAUGAGACUGAUAGCGAACAAGCACCAUGAGGGAAAGUGAAAGGGACUUUGGCCAGAGAGUUAACCGUGCCUGAAAUUGCUGAGAGGGAAGCGGAUGGAACCAAUGUUUGUUCUUGGCGAGAUUGAUACAUGCUAUACUGAUUCAUUGCUGCAUCAGCGCAAGCAGCUUGGCAUGUGUUGAUUCGCAAGCAUGGUGUGGUCCUUGCGUUGCGUGCCAUCAUGGGUCUGUUCAUUAAGAUAACUUAAAUCGCAUGGUACGAUAUUUCAGAAUGCAUGAAUGUGAUGCGUUCUAUUUCUGCACGAACUUUAAUGCGAGUGUCUGGCUGCAAUGUUGUUCUUGCGUCCCCGACCGCCAUGCGUGGAUGUUCCCUAUCUGGCGGCGGGGCGCGCAAGGCAUGUCCUUGACAUCCAUACCAUGACGAAAUUUCAUCCGCCG